AAUCAACGCUGGCGGCGUGCCUCAGACAUGCAAGUCGUACGAUUAAAGCUCUCUUCGGAGAGUGUAUAGAGUGGCGCACGGGUGAGUAACACGUAAGUAAUCUACCUUCGAGUGGGGAAUAACAGUCGGAACGACUGCUAAUACCGCAUAAUGCAGCGGCACCUAAUGGUGACAGUUGUUAAAGCAUUUAUGUGCUUGAAGAGGAGCUUGCGGCAGAUUAGCUAGUUGGUAAGGUAAUGGCUUACCAAGGCGACGAUCUGUAGCCGACCUGAGAGGGUGGUCGGUCACACUGACACUGAAUAACGGGUCAGACUCCUACGGGAGGCAGCAGUCGGGAAUUUUGGGCAAUGGGCGAAAGCCUGACCCAGCAACGCCGCGUGAAGGAUGAAGUAUUUCGGUAUGUAAACUUCGU
rnacentral:rRNA from 1 species